rnacentral:rRNA from 1 species
CAGUAGCCGCGGGAAUACGAAGGGUGCAAGCGUUACUCGGAAUUACUGGGCGUAAAGCGUGCGUAGGUGGUGGUUUAAGUCCGUUGUGAAAGCCCUGGGCUCAACCUGGGAAUUGCAGUGGAUACUGGGUCACUAGAGUGUGGUAGAGGAUAGUGGAAUUUCCGGUGUAGCAGUGAAAUGCGUAGAGAUCGGAAGGAACAUCUGUGGCGAAGGCGACUAUCUGGGCCAACACUGACACUGAGGCACGAAAUCGUGGGGAGCAAACAGGAUUAGAUACCCCUGUAGUCCCUGUCUCUUAUAC